AUUCUUAACGUGAAGGACCAAACAUCCACUAAACAGCACAUGCCAGUCAUUCAGCUGUGAGGGAUGGUGGAGUCCCUCAGCCGGGUCUUGGGGAACAGAUUUUUGCUCUGCUCAGCACCCAGACAGGAGAAGUACUUUGGCCAGAUGAAGUUCUUUCAGGUUUGUCAGUCCAGGAGGUCAUGUUUGUGGUAGGUAGAAUACUGCUGCUACCGAAGACAGAAGAUUUGCUGCUGACCUGCUCAUCUACAGUUUUCCAGUAUUAAUCUGCCUGUAUGUUGACAGUCACAUCAAAGAAUGAAUACUUCUUGAUGGCAGUGAAGGAUUGCUUUUAAUUUAUACUAUGUGUAAGGGCUGAAGUAAGAAGUUCCCUGACACAUUUUCCAUUUGUAAUUGGCUGUUAUCUCUAAGGGGAGUCUGACUGGGAAAUUGCAACCUAACAACAUUAUCCUGAGGAAGGGACAACUCCUUUCCUGCUGGUAAAAGAGAGUUGGUUUGUUCAAGAAAUGUAGUAGUAAAUAAGGAGAUUUCUUAAACUUUUCUCUUUAGCUCAUUUCAGCAACAAAGGCUGGGGCUGACUUUGUGUUUAAGCAAAACAUCAACCUCAGAUCUGUAUGCCACCAAAUCUCUUACAAAAGGCGAGAGAGUAAAUAUGCCUAGGAACAAAAACAGGGGCUUCUGUUUCUUGUGUAUACUGAGACACGGCUUGUGAGUACAACAGGAAGACUUGACAUCUGGAUGUGAACUAGGUCUGUUGAUGUGAACUCCCUGAAACUCCCGUGAAUGCUGUAGCUAGCUAGCUAGCCUUUUCAGCCUUUCUCUAUUAGAAUUCAGUGCAGAUGAUGUGCAUGUUCAGCCUUACUGUCCCCAGGAGAGCAAGAGAAACUCCCUCCUGCACAGUGCCAUUGCCACUGGUGUUGCUAUCAGGAUGCUAUCAUGAUGGAGAAGUGGAAGCAGUCACCAAAGCAAAGGAGAUGAUGAAUCAACCCAGUCUAUUAUGGGGGAGGAUACAGAGAACAGUGGAUCAGACUGCACAUCUCUGCUCUACUCCCUUGGUUCC